CCUACGGGAGGCAGCAGUGGGGAAUAUUGCACAAUGGGGGAAACCCUGAUGCCGCGACGCCGCGUGAGUGAAGAAGUAUUUCGGUAUGUAAAGCUCUAUCAGCAGGGAAGAAAUAGCGCCCUUUGGGUCGCCAGACGGUACCUGAUUAAGAAGCCCCGGCUAACUACGUGCCAGCAGCCGCGGUAAUUCGUAGGGGGCAAGCGUUAUCCUGAUUUACUGGGUGUAAAGGGAGCGUAGACGGCAGCGCAAGUCUGAAGUGAAAUGCCGGGGCUUAACCCCGGAAGUGCUUUGGAAACUGUGCAGCUAGAGGGCAGGAGAGGUAAGUGGAAUUCCUAGUGUAGCGGUGAAAUGCGUAGAUAUUAGGAGGAACACCAGUGGCGAAGGCGGCUUACUGGACUGUAACUGACGUUGAGGCUCGAAAGCGUGGGGAGCAAACAGGAUUAGAUACCCGUGUAGUC
rnacentral:rRNA from 1 species